rnacentral:rRNA from 1 species
ACUCAAAUGAAUUGACGGGGACCCGCACAAGCGGUGGAGCAUGUUCUUUAAUUCGAUGAUACGCGAGAAACCUUACCAGCUCUUGACAUGUACAUUUUGCUUUCUGGAAACAGAUUGCUUCGGUUCGGCCGGGUGUACACAGGUGUUGCAUGGCCGUCGUCAGCUCGUGUCGUGAGAUGUUGGGUUAAGUCCCGCAACGAGCGCAACCCCUAUUGUUAGUUGCUACCAUUUAGUUGAGCACUCUAACGAGACUGCCGAUGAUAAAUCGGAGGAAGGUGGGGAUGACGUCAGGUCAUCAUGGCCCUUACGGGCUGGGCUAGAAACGUGCUACAAUGGCGACUACAAAGGGCUGCGAGGCAGUGAUGCCAAGCCAAUCCCAAAAAGUCGUCUCAGUUCAGAUUGCAGGCUGCAAUUCGCCUGCAUGAAGUUGGAAUCGCUAGUAAUCGUGGAUCAGCAUUGCCACGGUGAAUACGUUCCCGGGUCUUGUACACACCGCCCGU